UACGUAGGGUGCAAGCGUUGUCCGGAAUUAUUGGGCGUAAAGAGCUCGUAGGCGGUCUGUCGCGUCUGCUGUGAAAACUCAGGGCUUAACCCUGAGCUUGCAGUGGGUACGGGCAGACUAGAGUGCGGUAGGGGAGACUGGAAUUCCUGGUGUAGCGGUGAAAUGCGCAGAUAUCAGGAGGAACACCGGUGGCGAAGGCGGGUCUCUGGGCCGAUACUGACGCUGGAGACGCGAAAGCCGUGGGGAGCGAACAGG
rnacentral:rRNA from 1 species